CCUACGGGUGGCAGCAGUGAGGAAUAUUGGUCAAUGGGCGCGAGCCUGAACCAGCCAAGUCGCGUGAGGGAUGAAGGCUCUAUGGAUUGUAAACUUCUUUUAUACGGGAAUAAAGUGUGGGACGCGUCUUAUUCUGUAAGUAUCUUAUGAAUAAGGAUCGGCUAACUCCGUGCCAGCAGCCGCGGUAAUACGGAGGAUCCGAGCGUUAUCCGGAUUUAUUGGGUUUAAAGGGUGCGUAGGCGGCCGUUUAAGUCAGCGGUGAAAGUCCGUGGCUCAACCAUGGAAUUGCCGUUGAAACUGGGCGGCUAGAGAGUGUUUGAGGUAGGCGGAAUGCAUGGUGUAGCGGUGAAAUGCUUAGAGAUCACACAGAACCCCGAUUGCGAAGGCAGCCUACCAAGCCAUGACUGACGCUGAUGCACGAAAGCGUGGGGAUCAAACAGGAUUAGAUACCCUGGUAGUC
rnacentral:rRNA from 1 species